rnacentral:snoRNA from 1 species
GAGGUGUGCUCAGAGCAGGGGGCCUGAAGAAUGGCUCCUCUGUUUAUAACACACCCAACAGGAACCUGGAGUCAUUGUGAUGAGAGGCAUGAAGCUUGUGUGAACUCCCUACAAACAAAUGCUCUACAUGU